rnacentral:rRNA from 1 species
CCUACGGGUGGCUGCAGUGGGGAAUAUUGGACAAUGGGGGCAACCCUGAUCCAGCCAUGCCGCGUGUGUGAAGAAGGCCCUCGGGUUGUAAAGCACUUUCAGUGAGGAAGAACGCCUGGUGGUUAAUACCUAUCAGGAAAGACAUCACUCACAGAAGAAGCACCGGCUAACUCCGUGCCAGCAGCCGCGGUAAUACGGAGGGUGCGAGCGUUAAUCGGAAUUACUGGGCGUAAAGCGCGCGUAGGUGGCUUGAUAAGCCGGUUGUGAAAGCCCCGGGCUCAACCUGGGAACGGCAUCCGGAACUGUCAAGCUAGAGUGCAGGAGAGGAAGGUAGAAUUCCCGGUGUAGCGGUGAAAUGCGUAGAGAUCGGGAGGAAUACCAGUGGCGAAGGCGGCCUUCUGGACUGACACUGACACUGAGGUGCGAAAGCGUGGGUAGCAAACAGGAUUAGAUACCCUGGUAGUC